UACAGAGGUCUCGAGCGUUGUUCGGAUUCAUUGGGCGUAAAGGGCGCGUAGCGGCGGGGUAAGUCUGGUGUGAAAUCUCGGAGCUCAACUCCGAAAUUGCACUGGAUACUGCUCUGCUAGAGGGCUGGAGAGGAGAUCGGAAUUCACGGUGUAGCAGUGAAAAUGCGUAGAUAUCGUGAGGAAGACCAGUGGCGAAGGCGGAUCUCUGGACAGCUCCUGACGCUGAGGCGCGAAGGCUAGGGGAGCAAAGCGGG
rnacentral:rRNA from 1 species